AACCAAACAUUUCCAAGAAGCUCACGAUAUUGAUCUUAAAGUAGAAAAGCUGCACUUUGAUUCUUCUGAAAAUUUUAGUAUCUGGUUUUCCAAUACUCAGAAAGAAUCUCUAACACAGUUUAUAGCGGAAAAAACUUCUGUUUCUACAAAUGAAACGAAUGUCACUUAUAUCUGUCACCGUUCUGGUUUUUAUAAAUCAAGAAGCUUGGGCGUUCGACAUUUGAAAUCCCAAGGAACCAAAAAAAUUAAUGAAUACUGUCCUGCUGGUAUACAGGUGGUUAUUGAUAAUGAACGAGGGAAUCAUGAAAUAACAUUUGUCAGAACUCAUGUUGGCCAUCAAAAUGAUUUAUCCCACUUAUUUUUGACAAAAGAGGAGCGUACUAUGAUAGCUACAAAGAUAGCAAUGAAAAUUCCCUUUGAUGCUAUAUUAGAUGACAUACGUGAUUCAGUAACAGAUCAGAUUUAGAGAGAUUGCAUCUACUUACGAAAAAAUAUGUUUUUAAUAUUGAGGCUUGUUUCAAUUUGCAUUCAAAGUCACAAAGACAUACUAAUGAUGCGAAACCACAAGGCAUAUGUUUAGAGGCAUAUCCUCAACUAAGAAAAGAGGACUUCAUGCUUAUUAUUAUGGAAAUUUUCUCGAAGAAUUGUUUGUGUAUCGAUGGAACUCAUGGGCUAAAUGGGUAUAAUUUCGAAUUACACACUUUACUCACAGUUGAUUGGCAUGGAUGAGUUACACACACAUUGGAUGAGUUAAGGCAAGGAUUUCCAUGUGCCUUUUGCGUAUCAAACAGAAGUGAUGGAGUUGCUAUGAAGAUAUUCUUCAGUUAUAUAAGAGCAGAAGUGGGACCAAUUGAAACCAAUGUGUUUAUGUCAGAUAUGGCUGAUGUAUACUACAAUGCAUGACUGUAUUGCAGCUGGCAUGUUGAUAGAGCGUGGAGAAAAAACUUGAGUUUAAUAAACUUAAGAGAUAAGCAGAACGGUGUAUACAAAAUUCUGCGAACACUUAUGCAGGAGACAGAUUCUACUGCUUUCGAGAGGAUGAUCCAAGAAUUCAUUGUUCAGUUACAAGUUUGGUCAUUAUUUUGAAAAUCAUUAUUCAAAUAAUUGCAUAAGCUGGGCCUACAGUUAUAGAGUUCAUUGUGGUUUGAAUACAAAUAUGCAUAUUGAACGAAUGCAUAAAUCAAUAAAAUAUAUAUAUUUGCAAAGAAAAAAUGUACAAAGGCUUGAUAAAGCAUUAGGGGCCUUAAUGAAGCUGGUUAGAGAUCGCCUUUUUGACCGGUUAAUUAUGUUAAAUAAGGGAAAAGUAACUUCCAAAUCAACUAAAUUAAAAAAAAGGCAUCGCAUAAGUUUGACGUUAGAUGAAGGAUCUGUAUCUGAAGUUAGUAGUGGCAUUUGGCAGAUUAUGACUGCAUCUGUAGCAAACAAUAUAUACACCGUUUGUGAGAACAGGAGUGGAUGUGAUUGUCAGUUGCACUGUGAUGAAUGCGAAUGUUGCAUACAUACGUACUCCCGUGAUUGUAUCGAUGGUUCAAUUCGCUGGAACAUGUGCAAACAUGUGCAUUUGGUUUGCAGAUUCCUUCUGCAAAGAAAACUUACAGUCCACGCAUUUAAUCCGGUUACAUUUUCUCAAGUUUAUUUUUAGAGUUUAACGACCAGCAGCUUCCAAAUUUAGAGCACUCAAAAUUAGCAAAUUCUGCAGUGAUUUUCCAUCACCUGCAAUCAACCGAAAACACCACAUUCUAAGUCCAAAGGACUUUAUCGGACAGAAAAAAAGAAUUAAUAGGAAAAGUGAUAAAUUAAAUUAAUAUAUUAAUAAUUCAGUGCUGUUAUUGUUCAGUGCUGAAAAGUUCUUCGCACCGCUGGGACCGACAUUGAGGGCUGUGCGUCAGGAAGAUGCCAUUUCAUUAGGCGCAAAUCUAAAACCCAACGGAACACCAGCUAGUAACAAAAAAAAUGAGACACAAAGAAGGUUAUUUAGCACCAAAAAAAUAAAAAAACAUAAAACUAACAAAAUUUAGGAGCCUAACCGGAUCGAGCAAGAAACAAUUGCUAUUAAUUUAUUAAUGAAAAACCAGAUAAAUUAAAAACGUUGUUUAAAAUCGGUUUAUGGCACAAUAACAAAGCAGUAAAAAAUUAAGGUUUGAAAGAUAAAGCAAAAGAAGAUGAAACAUUUGCUGCUGGUUCGUUUGUAUUGAAAUAUUUUUAUUUCUGUAACUAUUUCACCGCAAAUUUGAUUCUUCGGGUAAAUUCCCAAAAGUUCUAAAAAUGGACAUACUCGUAUCGCCACGAGCUUGAAUUCUACAUUGUACAUUGUCACACUGUUGGACAUUUACUUAAUAGAAAUAAAAAAACGCUGAUUAAAAUUAAA
rnacentral:lncRNA from 1 species